GAUGAACGCUAGCUACAGGCUUAACACAUGCAAGUCGAGGGGAAACGAUGAAAGAGCUUGCUCUCUUAGUCGUCGACCGGCGCACGGGUGAGUAACGCGUAUCCAACCUGCCUCUGACCAAGGGAUAACCCGUCGAAAGUCGGACUAAUACCUUAUGCAGUCGUCGGAAGUCAUCUGAUGACGACGAAAGAUUUCAUCGGUGAGAGAUGGGGAUGCGUCUGAUUAGCUUGUUGGCGGGGUAACGGCCCACCAAGGCGACGAUCAGUAGGGGUUCUGAGAGGAAGGUCCCCCACAUUGGAACUGAGACACGGUCCGAACUCCUACGGGAGGCAGCAGUGAGGAAUAUUGAUCAAUGGGCGUAAGCCUGAACCAGCCAAGUAGCGUGCAGGAUGACGGCCCUAUGGGUUGUAAACUGCUUUUAUGCGGGGAUAAAGUGAGGGACGUGUCCUUCAUUGCAGGUACCGCAUGAAUAAGGACCGGCUAAUUCCGUG
rnacentral:rRNA from 1 species